rnacentral:rRNA from 1 species
UACGAAGGGGGCGAGCGUUGUUCGGAAUUACUGGGCGUAAAGGGCGCGUAGGCGGCCGAUCAAGUUAGAUGUGAAAGUCCUGGGCUUAACCUGGGGACUGCAUUUGAUACUGAUUGGCUUGAAUUCGGGAGAGGAUAGCGGAAUUCCCAGUGUAGAGGUGAAAUUCGUAGAUAUCUGGAGGAACACCGGUGGCGAAGGCGGCAUCCUGGACCAACACUGACACUGAGGAGCGAAAGCCAGGGGAGCAAACGGG